UAAGAAGUAAAGAAAGAGCAUUUGGUGGAUGCCUUGGUGUUGGUAGGCGAUGAAGGACGUGAUAGACUGCGAUAAGCUUCGGGGAAUCGUCAAUAGAUAGCGAUCCGAAGAUGUCCGAAUGGGGAAACCCACCCUUAGGGGUAUUUGUAUUUGAAUAGAUAGAUUACAAAGGCGAACUCAGCGAACUGAAAUAUCUCAGUAGCUGAAGGAAAGGAAAUCAACCGAGACUCCCCUAGUAGUGACGAGCGAAAGGGGAAUAGGCCAGUGCCAUUGGUCUAACAACUAGAAUAGAUUGGAAAAUCUAGCCAUAGAGGGUGAUAGCCCCGUAGAGGUAAAAAUGACUGGUGGACUUGAGUAGGACGGGGCACGUGAAACCCUGUUUGAAUAUGGGGGGACCAUCCUCCAAGCCUAAGUACUAACCAACAACCGAUAGUGAACUAGUACCGUGAGGGAAAGGUGAAAAGAACCCUGCCAAAGGGAGUGAAAUAGAACCUGAAACCGAAUGCUUACAAACAGUCAGAGCGGAUUCAUUCCGUGAUGGCGUACCUUUUGCAUAAUGGGUCAGCGAGUUAAUAUGUAAAGCGAGCUUAAGUCGAUAGAUGUAGGCGUAGCGAAAGCGAGUCUUAAUAGGGCGCAUAGUUUUACGUAUUAGACCCGAAACCAGAUGAUCUAACCAUGGUCAGGCUGAAGGUGUAGUAAUAUGCACUGGAGGGCCGAACUUGUUAACGUUGCAAUGUUAUAGGAUGAACUGUGGUUAGGGGUGAAAGGCUAAUCAAAUCUGGACAUAGCUGGUUCUUCGCGAAAACUAUUUAGGUAGUGCGCUGUGCGAUUGCCGACGGGGGUAGAGCACUGAAUAGGCUAGGGGGGUCAAAAGCCCUGCUGAACCUAAUUAAACUCCGAAUACCGUCGAGCUAAGUGCAGUAGACAGACUACGGGUGAUAAGGUCCGUGGUCGAGAGGGAAAUAGCCCAGAUCGCCGUCUAAGGUCCCUAAGUUAUCACUAAGUGUGGAAGGAAGUAAUAGAGCCAAAACAGCUAGGAGGUUGGCUUAGAAGCAGCCAUCCUUUAAAGAAAGCGUAAUAGCUCACUAGUCUAGUCAAGCUCUUUUGCACCGAAAAUGUAACGGGGCUAAAGUGAUA
rnacentral:rRNA from 1 species